rnacentral:rRNA from 1 species
UACGUAGGGUGCGAGCGUUGUCCGGAAUUAUUGGGCGUAAAGGGCUCGUAGGCGGUUUGUCGCGUCGGGAGUGAAAUCCACUGGCUUAACUGGUGGCUUGCUUUCGAUACGGGCAGACUGGAGGUAUGCAGGGGAGAACGGAAUUCCUGGUGUAGCGGUGAAAUGCGUAGAUAUCAGGAGGAACACCGGUGGCGAAGGCGCCUAUCUGGCCCGAUACUGACGCUGAGGCGCGAAAGCUAGGGGAGCAAACGGG